GAUGAACGCUGGCGGCGUGCCUAAUACAUGCAAGUCGAGCGAACAGACGAGGAGCUUGCUCCUCUGACGUUAGCGGCGGACGGGUGAGUAACACGUGGAUAACCUACCUAUAAGACUGGGAUAACUUCGGGAAACCGGAGCUAAUACCGGAUAAUAUAUUGAACCGCAUGGUUCAAUAGUGAAAGACGGUUUUGCUGUCACUUAUAGAUGGAUCCGCGCCGCAUUAGCUAGUUGGUAAGGUAACGGCUUACCAAGGCAACGAUGCGUAGCCGACCUGAGAGGGUGAUCGGCCACACUGGAACUGAGACACGGUCCAGACUCCUACGGGAGGCAGCAGUAGGGAAUCUUCCGCAAUGGGCGAAAGCCUGACGGAGCAACGCCGCGUGAGUGAUGAAGGUCUUCGGAUCGUAAAACUCUGUUAUUAGGGAAGAACAAAUGUGCAAGUAACUAUGCACGUCUUGACGGUACCUAAUCAGAAAGCCUCGGCUAACUACGUG
rnacentral:rRNA from 1 species